rnacentral:rRNA from 1 species
UACGGGGGGAGCAAGCGUUGUUCGGAUUUACUGGGCGUAAAGGGCGCGUAGGCGGCGCAACAAGUCACUUGUGAAAUCUCCGGGCUUAACCCGGAGCGGUCAAGUGAUACUGUCGUGCUAGAGUGCGGAAGGGGCUACUGGAAUUCUCGGUGUAGCGGUGAAAUGCGCAGAUAUCGGGAAGGAACACCUAUGGGCGGAAGGCAGCUCGCUGGGACGUUACUGACG